GUGCUCGCUUUGGCAGCACAUAUACUAAAAUUGGAACAAUACAGAGAUUAGAGUGGCACAUUAGCAAGGAUGCCAUGCAAAUUCAUGAAGCGUUCCAUAUAAAA